rnacentral:tRNA from 1 species
GGCCGAGUGGCGGAAUGGCAGACGCUGGGGACUUAAAAUCCCCUGUCCUAACGGGCAUAUGGGUUCGACUCCCAUCUCGGCCA